rnacentral:rRNA from 1 species
UACAGAGGAUGCAAGCGUUAUCCGGAAUGAUUGGGCGUAAAGCGUCUGUAGGUGGCUUUUUAAGUCCGCCGUCAAAUCCCAGGGCUCAACCCUGGAAUGCCGGUGGAAACUGUCGGGCUAGAGUCCGGAAGAGGUGAGUGGAAUUCCUGGUGUAGCGGUGAAAUGCGCAGAUAUCAGGAGGAACACCGGUGGCGAAGGCGGGUCUCUGGGCAGUAACUGACGCUGAGGAGCGAAAGCGUGGGGAGCGAACAGGA